GGCAGUUUUCUACUUUGACAACUGCUGAACAAAAAAUAAGAACAACUGUGUACUUUGGUAUGCAUUGUGGAGAGUUAGUGUUGGGCUGCACACUCGAAUGAGAUACUCGAUGAUGGUGACUGCGGCCACAUCAAGUUCUAGCCUGAUUGGCAUUUUGGAUUAUGGAAGUCAAAGUAGACCAUCGAAGGUGUUGCUGAGACUGUAUCCACCUCCUCAAGGUCUGGACUUAAUGUGCC